rnacentral:lncRNA from 1 species
AACAAAUCACGCAUAGCAUCGAAGCAAUUGGCGAAAAAUCAAAUCACGCGUAUGCUGAAGCAACGGGCGAAAAACAAAUCACACACAACGCCAAAGCAGCUGGAGAAUAAUCAAAUCAUCGACUGGAGUAAUACCAUACAAGGUGACAUCAAAGUACUAUAGGUGAGAAUAACUGGCAGGACUAAUACCGUUGUCCCUGUUACCAUUAUCCCUGCAGGCACGCAAAGUCAUAGGGAGACGAAACUCCACUCAACCAGAAGUCAGAUCAACAUCCGAAAUUCAUCCUUCAAAUGGAAUACAAAUCCACAAUGAGGCCAUCAUGCCUUUAUCAUUCCAUAUAUCCACAUUAUAUCUCAAAUUAUAUUUAUUGAGCUUCAAUCAUCCAUAAGCUCAUUAAGGUUCUAAGUGCCUCAUUAUCCACAAGGCAUCAUUUAAUCAAAUCCUCUUAACAUAUCACUCGCCUAAGGUAAUCUAUUCCUAAGGUUAUUCAUAGCUUCUAGACAUCCUAGUCUAGGCUUACACAACAUGGAUCGUCUACGUGGCGUUUCACUAAAGCACACAAUCUCAACACAUAUCAUUCACUCACAUAGUAUACAUACAUAUAUAUGUACAUAUAUGUACAUAUAUAUAUGUAUGUAUGUAUGUAUAUAUACAACAUGGGCCGUUCUUUAGCCUAGGCAUGUUCAUCUAGGCCUACAUACAAAAUCUACUGCAUCACAUGCAUUUAAAUUAACCCAUUCACAGUGACAAACUAGAGGUGUUUCAUAGCCACGCUUCAAUCCUUAGCUUCCAACCAUCUUUCAGCUCACCAAUGCCUCCAACUUGCUUAAUCUUCCCUUAAACACAUCAAAACAUCACAAAAUUUAUUAAAUCUUGCCUUUUGAAAAAUGCUAGCUUUUUUAAAAAUAGCCAAAUCCUUAGCAAUCCAAUAUAUAAGCUUAAAUCCUUCAAUAAUGAGCUAAACUCAUACCUUAGAAGCUAGAAUGCAUAAUUAUUUACUCUAAAUCCCCAGUCAACUCAAGGGGGUAAAUCUCUUCAAAGUUGGACCAAAUUGAAUCUAAGUUAUUAAUUGAUUAAAUUAAAAAAACUAUCGGUAAAAACACUUAAUCUUACCUCUAGAAGCAUUCCAUAGCUCCAAUUUACUUCAAAUAGCUUCAAAAAUCAUUUUAAGAGGUUAGGGUUUUGAGUUUUGGAGAAAGAAAGCAAAAAUCAUAAAUCAAGCUUUUGGAAAUGGAAACACUUUACCUCAAACACUUACAAUCUAAGAUUUGUUGAUGGAGAUUGAUGGGUUUGAAGGGUGUGAAAUUUGAGAGAAAAUGGUGAAAGAAUAAAGGAAAAGGAGAUAAAAUGAGGAAUUCUUGAUUUUGGGGAUUUUAAGCUCGAUUUUGGCUGUCUGGGCAACCUAAGGUCGACUAUGGGAAGUCUGUAGUCGAACCUGGACUAGCAGAUUUCACCCAUUUACGUUCAUAGGAUCGACUAUGGAGGCUCUAUAGUCAAUUCUGGACUAGUAUACUU